rnacentral:lncRNA from 1 species
CUGGUAUAGUCAGGAGGGUAGAGACAAUAGACUGGAAUCAUACAGGACAGGAAGAGUAAGAGACUAUAGACUUGGUAUCAUCAGGAGAGAGGAGGGUAGAGACUCUAGACUGGUAGCAUCAGGAGGUUAGACUAUAAGAUGGUAAUCAUCUGAAAAGGAGAGUAAGACUAUAGACUGGUAUCAUCAGGAGAGUAGAGACUAUAGACGGUAUCAUCAGGAGAGUAGAGACUAUAGACUGGGUUAUCAUCAGGAGGGUAGAGACUAUAGACUGGUAUCAUCAGGACGGUAGAGACAAUAGACUGGUAUCAUCAGGAGGGUAGAGACGUAGACGGUAUCAUCAGGAGGGUAGAGACAAUAGACUGUAGCUACAUUAGGAGGGUAGAGACUAUAGACUGUUAUCAUCAGGAGGGUAGAGACUAUAGACUGGUAUCAUCAGGAGGGUAGACUAUAGACGGGUAUCAUCAGGAGAGAGGAAGUAGAGACUAUAGACUGGUAUCAUCAGGAGAG